CAAUCUUUUCACAUUCAACAUUCAAAAUUUCACACAGAUUUUCACUUUCUCUAAUUAACAUAUCUUCAAAUUUUCUUCCCUUUUCAAAAUUUUCAUCUGGUCUCUUCAAAAUAACAUCACAUCUGUUCAAAUUUUCUUCCUCUUUUCAAAAUUUUCAUUGUCUCUUGAAAAAACAGACAUAAUCUUUUCACAUCCAACAUUCAAAAUUUCACACAGAUUUUCACUUUCUCAAAUUAACAUAUCUUCAAAUUUUCUUCCCUUUUUAAAAUUUUCAUCUGGUCUCUUGAAAACAUCCAACAUUCUCCAUUUCUUCCUUUUCUAAUUAUUUUCUUAUUUAUUUUGUUUCCCUCAAUUUUCUUUUCUUUAAACACUAAUUGUCAUGUAUAAUUAACCUAUCCUCUUGCUUUCUAUAAUCCUUCUUCUAUCUUCCUUAAUUCAUCUUCUUCUUCCUCUUUAUCAACAUUAAUCUUUAUUUCUUAUCCUAAUUCCUAUUCCACACACCACAUAGCAUAACAUGGACACAUCUCGAGGCCUUAAAAAACACACACACAUACGCGCACACACACACACGGGGUCACAUAACAUCACACGGUAUCACUAGUAAAUUCCCUUCCUCCUCCUCUUCCUCCUCCUCCUCCUUCUUCUUCUUCUUCUUCUUCUUCCUCUUCUCCUUCUACCAAAACAUCACAGGAUAUCACCAUUUUUUAUUUUGCCUUAGAAGAUAUUAACACUCGCUCGCUCGCUCUCUCUCGCUCGCUCGCUCCCUCUCUCUCGCUCGCUCGCUCCCUCCCUCUCUCUAUCACAUCGCCCUAAACUUAACCUUAUGUCCUUAGUUUACAUUUGUUUACAUUUGUUUACAUUCACGAACGACGGAACUUUUCGCGUCCGACGGAACUUUGCAAAAAAAUAAAUAAAAAAAAAUAGAAAAAAUACAGGUCAGUUCGUCUCCCUUAUAUAUAUUUCCUGUCUUCUUCUCUUCCUCUUCCUCCUCUUCUUCUUCCUCUUCCUCCUCUUCUUAUUUCAUUGACUUCCCUCCUUCUCUUCCUCCUCCUCUGUAUCUUUCUCCUUCCUUCUUCUUCUUCCUCCUCUUCCUGUAUUUCUCUCUCUCUUCCUCCUCCUCCUCCUCUUCCUCCUCUUCUUCUUCUACAUCCUUCUAUACCUCCUUCUAUACCUCCUCCUCCUCCUCUUCCUCCUCUCCCAGUGCCUUUUCUUCAAUCUCUUCCUCCUUCCUUCUUCCUUUUCCUCCUCCUCUCCUUCCUUCAUUACUUCUCCUCCUCCUCCUCCUCCUCCUCCUCCUCCUCCUCCUUUCAGUCAGAUCGUCAUAACAACUUACCAUAAAAAAAAAAUAAUAAUAAUAAUAACAAUAAUAAUAAUAAUAAUAAUAAUAAUAAUAAUAGGAAGCUUAACAGUAAUUACAUAGAAACUAACCUAAUAUAGACAGAGUAUAAAAAAUAACAAUGAUAAUAAUAAUAAUAAUAAUAGUAAUUUGCGAGCCGAUGAAGCACAGACAAACGAACACACAAAAAGGAUAUGGUACAGACGGGGCGGUUAACAUCCCUAUAGAAAACGGGGGAGAAAGAAAACGGAGUGCGGGGGAAACAGAAACGCGUUGGAACAUGUAAACACACACACACACACACACACACACACACACACACACACGUAUAUAUAUCGUAAAAAAACACCCUAUAUUACACAAGCUGCCACAUUCAUUAAUAAGCGGGCGGAUCAACGGAAAUAAAACACACACGCGCGCACACACACUCAAAACGCACACACACACACACACACGCACACAGACUCGGAAGCUGGGAUACACACAAGCUCAAUUUCUAACAUUUUUUUUUUCUUUCUUCAAAUUCAAGCUUUUCAGAGGUGUUUUUCUGUCAAUUCAAGCUUUUUUUUAUUUGUUGAUAUUCCAAGUUGAAAAGACUGGAAAAAAAUGUAAGGUCAGGUAAGGUAAGGUAAGGGGAGGUUAGGUUGGAUAAGGUAGGUAAGGUCAGAUUAGGUUAGGUAAGGUAAGGUUAGGUAAGGUAAGAUUAGGUUAUGUUAUGAUAGAUUAGGUAAGGUUAGGUAAUGUUAAGUUAGGUAAGGUAAGGUUAGGUAAGAUUAGGUAAUGUUAGGUUAGGUAAGGUAAGGUUAGGUCAAGUUAGGCAGGGUAAAGAAAGGAGGGGUUGAGAUUGGGGUGUGAGGAGACCGUUUCUAAAUUUAAAUAUGAAGUACUUUAAUAAAUGCCUAAGCCUUAACCGUGUAGCAGCGACGGGCCAAAUUUGUGGCUUUACCGUGUAGCAGUGAUGGGCCAAAUUUGUGGCUUUACCGUGUAGCAGCGACGGGCCAAAUUUGUGGCUUUACCGUGUAGCAGCGACGGGCCAAAUUUGUGGCUUUACCGUGUAGCAGUGACGGGCCAAAUUUGUGGCUUUACCGUGUAGCAGCGACGGGCCAAAUUUGCCAUGAUAUAAACCCCAAAAAAUAGACGAUGCAUAAUCUGAUCACAAAUGCUUUGAUAUAUAUUAUGAAAUGGUUUGUGUGAGGGGUGAUUUUUUCUCAUUUUUCUCACUUGGAGGGACCAUUAAGAAACAUGAUCCCUGCUGAUACCAGGUUAAACAUUUCCUUGAAGAUUGUAACACUGCCGGAAAAUUAUAGAUGUCAGAAUUUGAGCUUGUGUGACCCUAGGCAGGAAAAAGGAGAAGAAAGUUUGUGUAGGGAGGGAGAAGAGGGUAAAAGAAGGGGGAUAGGUCAGGUCAGGUCAGGUAAGGAUAGGUAAAAUUAGGUUAGGUUAGGUAAGGUAAGGUAAGGUUAGGUAAGGUUUGGUUAGGUUAGGUAAGGUAAAGUUAGGUUAGGUAAGGUUAGGUAAGGUUAGGUAAGGUUAGGUAAGGUAAGGUAAGGUUAGGUAAGGUUAGGUAAGGUUUGGUAAAGUUAAAUUAGGUAAGGUUUGGUUAGGUAAGGUAAGGUAAGGCAAGGUUAGGUAAGGUUGUUAGGUUAGACUAGGUAAGGUAAGGUAAGGUUAAGUUAAGUUAGGUUACAGAAAGGAAACAGGUUAGAUUUAGGGUUGACACACACACACACACGCACACACACACACACACCAGAAAAAAACCCAGCUAUAGUACUUUAAAAUAUUGCCAUAAACUAUAUAUAUAACUAUUCUCUCUAUGAUAUACUGCAUCGUGACCCCAAGCCAGUGUGUGAGGGUCCGACAUGCUGGGCUGCGCGACACCUACACUCAAGGGGGGGUGGGGUGGGGUGGGGGGUAGGGGGGGUAGAACACUUCCGACCACAAGCUAGAAAAAUUAUCAAAAAUAUAUCAAAUAAAAGUUGCGGAAAAGCUGUUAUUGAUAGCGCGAUUAUUGUUGUUAGUUAUUUUUAUUAUUAUUAUUAUUUACUCUUAGAUAACAAGGUAUGGUGAUGUCUCUCUCUCUCUGUCUCUCUCUCUCUGUCUCUCUGUCUAUCUAUCUCGACAACAUUGUAUAUAUAGUGAUAAAUUCUCUCUGUCUCUGUCUCUCUCUCUCUCUCUCUAUCUAUCUCGACAACAUUGUAUAUAUAGUGAUAAAUUUUCUCUCUCUCUCUCUCUCUCUCUCUCUCUCUUUCUCUCUCUCUCGACUACUUUGUAUAUAGAGUGUGACAAAUUUUCUCUCUCUCUCUCUCUCUCUCUCUCUCUCUCUCUCUCUCUCUCUCUCUCUCUCUCUCUCUCUCUCUCUCUCUCUCUCACACGCACACACAUCUAAGUACACACGCAUAAUUCAUUAAAAACCUUAUGAAUUAAUUGUCAAUAUGAUCAACAGACAUAUAUAUAAUUAGUAGGAAAGCCAUUCUAAUUAGGGGGGGGGUAGGGAGGGUUGAGGAGGGGUGGGGAGGAAGGGGUGGGGGGUAGAUUUGGUUAGGUAAAGAAUGGGGGGGGGGGGGGUUGAGGAGGGGAGGGAGAGAUGGGGUUAGGUUAGGUAAGGUAAGGUAAGGUAAGGUAAGGUAAGGUAAGGUAAGGUAAGGUAAGGUAAGGUUAGGUAAGGUAAGAUUAGGUUAGGUAAGGUUAGGUAAGAGGGGGAGGAGAGGAGAGGAAAGAAAGGGAGAGGAAAGUAGGAAAAAAAAAUAUAUAAUAAUAAUAAUAAAAUAAAGGGGAAGGGAAGCAUUAGGUCAAAGGAGGUCAAAGGUCAAGGGAAACCGAGCUACCCUACAAGUGUACAAUUAAAAUCAAAUAAAUAUAUAUAAAAAAAUAAAAAAUAAAUCGUCAAUAUAAAUAAACACAAGCUUGGGUGAGAUUCUUUAUAUAAUCUCUCUCUCUCUCUCUCUCUCUCUCUCUCUCUCUCUCUCUCUCUCUCUCUCUCUCUCUCUCUCUCUCUCUCUCUCUCUCUCUCUCUCUCUCUCUCUCUCUCUCUCUCUCUCUCUCGUCAAAAUCUCAGCUUCAUGUAUAUAUGUAUCUGUGUAUGUGUGUGUGUGUGUGUACGUAUCAAUAAUGCGCUCACAGGAACACACGCACACACACACACAUAUACACAUGGCUAAAAACACACACAGAACUCUCCUCACUAUACGCACACAACUAAACCUCCCUUUUUUUUUCCUAUGUACGCGCUAUUCCAUGUACGUAUUUCCUAAGCAUGUACGCAAAUCUUCAAUCUAUGUGCGCGAGUCUUGCAUCUAUGUACGCGUUUAAACUGAUUUGCUAAAAACAUCUCAAUAUUUUUUUUUCUAUCUUAUGUGUGUGUGUGUGUGUGUGUGUGUGUGUGUGUGUGUGUGUGUGUGUGUGUGUGUGUGUAUUUAUAUCACAAUAUAUAUCAUUUUUUUAUAACUAUAUAUUCUUGCAUACUUUGAAGGGGUAAAAAAGAAGGGAAGGGAAGGGAAGGGAAGGGAAGGGGAGGGAUGGGAUGGGAUGGAAUGGGAUGGGAAAGGAAGAGAAGGGAAGGGAUGGGAAGGGAAGGGAAGGGAAGGGAUGGGAAGGGAAUGGAAGGGAAGGGAUGGGAUGGGAUGGGAAGGGAAGGGAAGGGAAGGGAAGAAGUGUGUGUGUGUGUGUGUGUGUGUGUGUGUGUGUGUACGCAUGUGUAUCUAAGCUGUGUACACAAAAGCAAAUCUACAUACAUACACAAGAGAGAGAGAGAGAGAGAGAGAGAGAGAGAGAG